AGGUUGGUUUAUUCUGCUAUUUCAACGCAGCCUCUGAUGGAUAAUCUGGAGGCUCAGACGUAUGAAACGUUUGAGAAAGACUCAGUGAAAUUUAUGCAGGUAAAUGCAGUUUUGUUCCUUCAGAGUUUGUUUAGUAUCUUUUUUGUGGGUGGGACUCUUCUUAUAUUGUUGAUUGGUGCGAGUGGUUAUUUAUUAUUAUAAUUUUAGACAUAAGGUGUGCUUAUGUUUUACUAGUAUCAAAGGGCAAUCUGCAAAGCAUUACCGGACAGGGUCCCUGAUGGGGAAGAAUCAGCAUUAACCACUGCAAGCUACCUGUUUAUCACAAAUCAUAUUUUUCUAAUUUGUCUGUUUUAUAUGACUUCUGAUCAUCUUGUUCUAUUAUUACUUUUCGUGAAUAUGAUGAAUACAAGAUUUUUCAAUCUUGAUAUUGGUGUGUUUUCUACAUGAAGGAGGAGGACCUAUUGUGACGGCAUCAUUGCAGGCAGCUGAAGAAAAUGGACGCAAGCUUAAAGUUUAUGCUGUAGAAAAAAAUCCAAAUGCUGUGGUCACACUUCAUGUGAGUUGCAGAUUAUGUUUUGAAUUGUAAUACUUUACAGUUGCUAAGAUGAUGCGCUGAUAAUCUUGCCAAGACAAUCUGCUGGCAGUGCAUGAACCAUUUGCAUGCUUAUGCAUAGAGUUCUUCAGUUAACACUUUCUUAUUUGGUUUUGUUUUGGAUUGCCUGGGCAAGCUGAUUUUAGUAAGAAUGUUCUCCGCUCCUUACAAAGUCACUCUUCUCUUUAGAGUCUUGUUCGUUAGAUUUUGGAUAAGAUAGUAUGUAAGAAAAUGCCUUUUUAGUGGUAUUGUUGAACCGUAGAGGUAAAUUAGUCUUAGAGGACGUUUUGCUAUCAAUGUGAUUUGGUUGAAUCCUCUAUGAUAAAAUAUGGAAACCACAAUUAAUUACACAUCUUUGGUCUUUAAAAAGUCAGCAUGUUAAGGAGGUAUCACUCUCAAUUUUAGACCCAUAUAUUUUUAUGUGCUGUAGCUGAGGAUUGCAUUGUUAGGGAUGAAAUGGGUGCAUGAGAUAAAGCCUCGAAAUGCUGUUUUAAUCAUUGAGUUUAUCUUAUCUUCCCCACCCCACCUUCGUGUCUGCUAUAUUUACCUCUUGUGCUUCCCUCCGUAGCAAUUUUUUUUCCUCUGAAAAAUUCAAGGAUUAGAAAAGUACUCAACUUCAUGCCCAUUAGAUAUUAUAUAAUUUAACCGUUAAGUAGAUGGAGUAAUUUGCUGGUAAAAGCUUUUAUUAAAGGCUGUGAUUGGUAGUUUGGUAACAACAGCCUUUGAUUUUUUAUCGUGGAUAAUUUUCUUUGGAAGUCCCAAAUUAGUUUUGCAUUUUGAAAAUGGUUUUAUCUUUGUUUAAGCAGAGUUUGGUUAAACUGGAAGGGUAGGAAAAUAUUGUUACCAUAGUUUCUUGUGAUAUGAUACUCCUGAAAAAUCUGACAUCCUGUGAAUUGCUGGGAUCUUUUGGGGAUAAUGAGCUGUCUCCUGAGUGUCUUGAUGGAGCCCAACGGUUUCCGAAG